AAAGUUCUCAGUCAGAGUCUCAGAAUCCUAAUAUAGGAGGAUUCCAAGUCAAAGAAAAUCCUGAUGAGUGGUAGGCAAGAUAGUGGGCUGUAUGUUGUAGGAAUUAAUGGUUACCCUCCUCUGUGUUGAAUAGUAAGAGUCCUUUUGAGGUUAUGUUUGGUUUUAAACCCUCCUUGUCUCAUUUAAGGAACUUUGGAUGUUUGUGUUUCACUACUGUUUUAAAUGAACCUGAUAAGUUUGCAUUUCAUGCUGAUAAGUGUGUUUUUCUUGGUUAUUCUAACAUAAAAAAAGGG